AGUGAACGCUGGCGGUAGGCCUAACACAUGCAAGUCGAACGGCAGCACAGUAAGAGCUUGCUCUUACGGGUGGCGAGUGGCGGACGGGUGAGGAAUACAUCGGAAUCUACUUUUUCGUGGGGGAUAACGUAGGGAAACUUACGCUAAUACCGCAUACGACCUACGGGUGAAAGCAGGGGAUCUUCGGACCUUGCGCGAUUGAAUGAGCCGAUGUCGGAUUAGCUAGUUGGCGGGGUAAAGGCCCACCCAGGCGACGAUGCGUAGCUGGUCUGAGAGGAUGAUCAGCCACACUGGAACUGAGACACGGUCCAGACUCCUACGGGAGGCAGCAGUGGGGAAUAUUGGACAAUGGGCGCAAGCCUGAUCCAGCCAUACCGCGUGGGUGAAGAAGGCCUUCGGGUUGUAAAGCCCUUUUGUUGGGAAAGAAAAGCAGCAGGUUAAUACCCCGCUGUUCUGACGGUACCCAAAGAAUAAGCACCGGCUAACUUCGUG
rnacentral:rRNA from 1 species